rnacentral:lncRNA from 1 species
AUUUCCUCUGUCCAGGAUUCAGGGCGUGUGUGUGCUUUCACCAGAGUGAACCCAGGCUCACUGAUGACCUCUGUUCAAUUGCUGUAAUUGGUGAAUGGAACAAGCGUGUUCCUCCUUUUCUUGUCCCCCCCGAUUUUGCCAGGAGCACUGCAUGGCUGAGAAUGGAAAGCAAUCUAAGAAGUCUGAAUUGUUGGAUAAAUUACAGUAGAAUUAGUUUGGCCAUUUCCUUUGAAGACACAAAAUGCUAUUAAAUAGAUAUUAAAUAAUUUCCUCGUACCUCAGCAUGCACCUGAGAACACAGAUGUUUGGAUUGUUACUACAUUUUUUACAGCCUUUUGCUAUAGCCUCUGUACUUGGGUGCUUGAUUGCUCCUGGAGUGAAUAUUGGCUUUCUGCUGAGACAGACAUGGCAAGCUGAUGUGUUUUGUUUAAUGUUUAAAAGCUGCUCAGGCAGUCUGGGUUCACAUCCACCUCGGGACAGAAGGGAGAGAACAGAAAAGCAAGAUGGGAAGAAGAAAAGAAUCCAGAAAUAAAAGCAUUUGUAAAAAGAGUUCUUGUUCAAUAAAUUCAAAUCUGUCUCUGAAUAAUAGAAAAGC